GGCAGAAUAGCGAUACCCAUCUUGGCCACUGUACUCAACAUGGCACAGUGCAGCACGGAGGUUCUAAACUAGCACCCAAAUCUGUGUGCUUUUAAUGGUUUUAAUUCAUGGCUUAUAUUUAUUAGAAUGCAUUCAUUGUUGGAUGUAAUUAUACACCAAUGGAUGUAUGUUAUUGUACAUAUUUAUUUCUAUUAAGUAACCUUGAAAACUUUAUGACUCUCCCUAUAAUAUUAUUUAAAAUGAUAAAUUGAAUGAGGAUAUUUAACUGUGCAGUCCAGGGUUUUAAUAAAUGAACUGAAUAAUUAAGAUUUAGGGCAGCAAUAGCUAGAAAUGCUUUAGUAACUCUGAUGAGUGUGGUGUUAAUUAAAACGAAACUAAAUAAAACUAAACUAAACUAAAAAUAAAAAAUAAAAAACAAAACAGCUUAAUUAUUUACCCAACAUGGCAAUUUGUUAUAUUAGUACAAAUUAAAAAUUGUUUGUUUGCUGUUACAUAUGAUGACAGUGAAAUUGUUGUAUUUUUCAUUUGUUUUUACAUGUAACUUUAAAACGAAUAGCAUCAUCAUUUUCUUCAGUUUCUCUACUCGCCCACUCCCCCACUCAUUCAUUUACAUUAAUUGUGCUAUUCUGUACAAUUCCUUUGUGCAACAGAAGCCAGGCUGAAUAAAUAAGGUGCAGUGCUAAAAACAAAAAAAGAGUAUCCUUUACUUUCUCAACCUGUAUUGUGCCUGUGUUAUAAUUACUUGUUCAUGAAUAUUUACUAACACAUCAAGUUUUUCACCUGCAAAGUCAAACCUGGUUGGUGCAGUAAUGUAGCUAACGUAAUCAAUACUGAAAUCUUUUUUUUCUAUAUCAUUGUUGCUCUUGUAUGAUGCACAUAGCUUAAAUCUCUCUUAUAACAUUUGCUAUUCACAUGAAGAGAGAAAAAGUGAGAGAGAGAGAGAGAGAGAGAGAGAGAGAGAGAGAGAGAGAGUGCCCGCUGCCUUCUUCCUUCAGAUUCAGUAUUGAUUUGAAUCAAUAUGACAUAUGCCGUAGAAUCACUUUUCCAUUCAUCACAGCAGUGGAUAAGAGUAAUGCCAAACUCACCACAAUUGAUCACAUUGGCAGAAGGAAAAAGAGAAUGGCAAAGCACAUCUCAAGUGCACUGCAUACCACAGGCUGAGUCUUUGUAAUAUGAUAGAUGGAUUUAAGAAUGAAUUAAACAGCAAGAAUGGAACUAAUGCACAUAAUCGUUAUGGGAUAUGACAAAGAUAUGUAUGCUAUAAAAAAUUGAUUUAUUAGGUUGAUGUUAUUUUGCAAUUUUUAUUUUCAUGAUCAAAAUAUGCUUUCAUUUUCCGGAAGUUUAAAAGUUUACAUUGAUUUGCAAAGACUCAUUCUAUACGUAGGCUUCUUGCUUUUUGGUUUGUAUUGACUUCAGUCAUCUAAACAGAAGGAUGAGGUUUCUGUGGUACUGGCAGAGUAAAAUAAAGGGGUAAAGGGGAACUGCCUGUCCAAAAGCCAAGGUAAAAAAAAAUAAACAAAUAAAUGGAAAAACGUGUGUUUCCAAGAAGAGGCCCACUUCAGAAUGUGGCCAUGUAGCCUCAGGAAUUACAUGAAGUUGAGGUUAAAAAAAAAAAGAGAGAGAGAGAAGAAGAAAGAAAAUGCAUAUGGAAAAUGGAUGUGCUUAAAGGGACAGAACUAAAAUGAUGCUUUACAUCAAAAGUCCUUUUUGCAUUGAUCCUAUUCUACUAUUUAACUUGAAACUUAUGAGAUAUAUAUUAUUUGUAAAUGAGCUCAUAGCUCGAAAAUAUCUACAGUAUAUGACAGAAAACUGAGCAGAGUGAAACAGAGAUAUAAGGAGUCGGGACAAGAGUCGCUGCUGCACCCAAGGGGGCCGGAUGUUGAAUCCUUUGGGAGGGCCAGUGUCUUUGAUGAACACUGAUUCUGGUAGAUCUGUACUCGUGUUGUCUUAUGCAGAUUGUUCUGCUGUACCUUUAUAUGGCUAUCACAGUCGUUUCAUCUUAUUUAUUGCCUUUCCCUGUUUAUUUGCACAUGAAAC
ensembl:lncRNA